AACGCACCUUGCGCUCCUUGGUAUUCCGAGGAGCAUGCCUGUUUGAGUGUCAUUAAAUUCUCAACCUCACCAAUUUUGUUAUGAAGUUGUGUGUAGGCUUGGAUGUGGGGGUUGCAGGUCCACUCUCGUGGUCUGCUCCUCUGAAAUGUAUUAGUGGGUUUGGCCCCUAAUCUAUUGGUGUGAUAAUUAUCUACGCCGUGGAUUGGAAGGCUGUUACGACCUGCUUCUAACCGUCCUUCACUGGACAACUCUUGACAUUUUUGACCUCAAAUCAGGUAAGACUACCCGCUGAACUUAA
rnacentral:misc_RNA from 1 species